rnacentral:lncRNA from 1 species
GUUCAACACUGAGUAACUGGACAUAUGUUUUGGUAGAGACAUAUAAAGGAGGACAAGAAGUUCUAUUGCUGAUUGAUGGGAGUUAGAUAACACCUAAUUCUCUGUUGUUACUUCUGUUUGUCGUCUGUUGCAUUUUCUACCUAUUCUGCAAGUGCUUUCCUUUCAGUGUGUCCUCUUCUAAAAACAACAUCAGGCCAAAGCCAUUGAAAUUUGGUCUUCGAUACAAGUAUUAUUCCAAUAAUGCAAAGAAUGCCAGUGUUUUGAUGGAAAUUAGACAAGUAUCUGUGGGUUAAAAAUGAGGGAAUUAUUUCCCUGUUGUAUCCUACCCUAGGAUAACAGUAGUAAACCUCAGCCCUGCCAGAGGGAAUGAGGUGGUGUGGGCAUUUUCAUUUGCCCAACAACUGAAGACAUUUGCUCAGUUCAUUGCUGAAGAUUCAAACUUGCCACCAGAUGACUGAGUCACAGAUCUGGGAUUUAUAAGUAAGCUGUAUUGGCUGAUCUGUGUAUGUGGCUGACUGGCUGACUGUUGUUCUUGAGCAGAGAAGAGUAGGCAGUCACCUGCAAUUUAUGCUAGACCUGGUAAUUUUUCCGCUGUGCAGUAACUAGUUUAGCUAACAGUCAAAGGUUUAUCAUGGAACUUGUUCGUGAUAUUAUGAAGUACAAAAAUAACUGUAAGCUGUGAAUAGAACCAAACUGAUUUGUGAGACAAAAGCCAGAACCAAGUGACAAUUGGGAUGAGUGAAGGUUACAGGACGAUUCAGAGUUGCACAACAAAGAAACUUUUGCUUUUUAUUUUAUGACACAAAAAACUGUCAUCUUGUCAUCUCUCUAGGAUACAUUUUUUGGCCUUCGGAUUGUGAUUUCCCAUUGUUUUUGUGAUCAGAUAGCAACACCACACAACAUCCUUCUCAGCCACUUAUAUCAAAAUUGUCUUUCAUCCAUCAUGGUUAGAAGAACUACAUAAGAGUCUGAAGUACUUGGCUGGACUUGUGCUGUGCUACUUGGACACUCACCUGAAGCUGCUGUGUAGGGGAAAGAAUAGACAUCUGCACAGAGGUCAACUGCAUCUGGUUUGCCUUGUGGAUGGACCCACAGCUCCCUAGUUGUAUAGGGAGAUGAGAUCAUGUAUUCCAAUUUUCCUAGUAUGCAUCAGCAGGAAUGCAUUAAGGGAGGAAAGCAAGGUUAAAUCACCUUGAUUUCGUCAGGUUUGUAACUCUUAGCAUUUCUUACCUGGGAAUGUAAAACUGAGUGUAAUGCACAGCACUUCUCUGAUACUAUGGAGAAUUGAAAUGGGAUGGUGUUGAGCCUGUUGCUUGCUUUCUUAGACCAAUUUUGGUUUUUAGCUGUAAAGAAAUAUUUUCUG